rnacentral:rRNA from 1 species
UACGUAGGUGGCAAGCGUUGUCCGGAUUUACUGGGCGUAAAGAGCGCGCAGGCGGUCGUUCAAGUCGCGUGUGAAAGCCCCCGGCUCAACUGGGGAGGGUCACGCGAUACUGAUCGACUCGAAGGCAGGAGAGGGAAGUGGAAUUCCCGGUGUAGUGGUGAAAUGCGUAGAGAUCAGGAGGAACACCCGUGGCGAAGGCGGCCGACUGGGUCGGACCUGACGCUGAGGCGCGAAAGCGUGGGGAGCGAACGGG